rnacentral:rRNA from 1 species
AUGUUCAUGCACCAGAGAGCUGUUCGUCGUGCUGGGAGACUUUUGAUCCGCUAUGGUCCAUUGUUUCCCCGGGAACAGGAGAGGAUCCAAAAUCUGAACUACAUCUACAACUGCAAUGACGUCGAGGCUCUGUGGAUGCUUAGAAUGAAAAGAUCACCAUUUGCCAGGCUUGUCGAGACAUUCAGGAGCAGGGACCUGUUACAAGAUAGCAUCAACACUUGUGUCGAAGAGCAAGUGGCCAUGUUCCUCCAUGUUGUUGGCCAUAACCAGAGGUUCAGGGUCAUUCACAACACGUUCAGGAGAUCAAUGGAGACCAUCUCUAGGUACUUCAAGCAUGUGCUUUUUGCUGUUGGGGAGCUUAGAGGAAAGAUGAUCAGGAGACCAUCUGGCCAGACUCCACCCAAGAUUCGCGGAAGCCCAAGAUGGUAUCCAUACUUCAAGUUCAGCACUAACACAUGCUAG